rnacentral:rRNA from 1 species
ACGUACACUCCUACGGGAGGCAGCAGUGGGGAAUAUUGGACAAUGGGCGCAAGCCUGAUCCAGCCAUGCCGCGUGAGUGAUGAAGGCCCUAGGGUUGUAAAGCUCUUUCACCGGUGAAGAUAAUGACGGUAACCGGAGAAGAAGCCCCGGCUAACUUCGUGCCAGCAGCCGCGGUAAUACGAAGGGGGCUAGCGUUGUUCGGAUUUACUGGGCGUAAAGCGCACGUAGGCGGACUAUUAAGUCAGGGGUGAAAUCCCGGGGCUCAACCCCGGAACUGCCUUUGAUACUGGUAGUCUUGAGUUCGGGAGAGGUGAGUGGAAUUCCGAGUGUAGAGGUGAAAUUCGUAGAUAUUCGGAGGAACACCAGUGGCGAAGGCGGCUCACUGGCUCGAUACUGACGCUGAGGUGCGAAAGCGUGGGGAGCAAACAGGAUUAGAAACCCUGGUAGUCCCA